rnacentral:rRNA from 1 species
AUGUCCGCAGCACCAGAGGAAUACAAGGUUUCAUUAGCACAGUUAUAUAUCAUUGGAGAGGCUGAUGUGUGGUUAAGAAGAUCUGGUUUACUCAAGAAACAAUUAAAUUGGAAACAAUUUUGUGCUGAACUAAUAAAAAGAUUUUCGAAGCAAGGGUGUUAUGAUUUAACUGAAAAAUUCAAUUCAGUUAAGCAGUUAAAUACUUCUGUGUCUGGAUAUACAAAACUCUUUGAAGAUUUGAUGGCAGAUGUGCAGGAAGAAAAUCCUGAGCUCAGUUACUUGUGGUUUGUCAGAUGUUACGUCAAUGGGCUCCAAGAAGGGAUUAAGUUCCAAAUUAGACCACUGAGACCUCAAACGCUGAGAGAUGCAUAUUGGUUGGCCAAAGACAUUGAACCUUGCUAUCCUCCUAUCACUUCUGCACUCAAGAAACAAGGUGUUCCUUAUACAAAUUUCUAUCAAAGAAUUCCAACUGGGAAUUCUGUGAAACAAGGUACUUCUGCACCAUAUGCCUCUGCACCACAAUUACCUAUCAGACAUGCUGAAAUGAGUAAUACCAGCAAUCAGAAAGUGAGGAAAGUGGGAGAAUGUUGGAGGUGUGGUGAUAAGUGGAUGCAUGGAAAGUCCAAGUUAGUUCCCAGUGUCCAUCUUAUGCAACAGGAGCAGGAAGAGCAUAUACUUCAUGAUAGUGAGGAAACAAAUCCACAAGAAGAAACUAAAGCUAUAGAAGAGGAAGACCAAGCUAUGUUCAUUUCAGCAUUUGCUAUGGGGCAACAACUACCAGUACCAGCACCUACUGUGGUUAUACAUAUCAAUGGAAAAAGAGUUAUAGCCAUACUGGACUCUGGUAGUACUUCUUCAUUUCUCAAUCAUGAAUUUGCCAUUAAAUCUAAUUGCAAAUUACUACCAGUGAAACCCAGAGUGAUUGCUGUUGCUGGAGGAGGUACACUACUAUCCACUGUAGUAGUUCCUCAAUGUGAGUUUCAGUUAGGGAAAAUGAAAUUAUCUCACAAUUUCAUAGUGUUAUCUUUACCCAGUCAUGAUGCUAUACUAGGGUAUGAUUGGUUUACGGCUGUCAGCCCAAUUGCUUUUGAUAUUCCAACAAACAAAUUCAGUUUUACUGCUCAAGGACAACAAACUGUAACAACUGCUAUGUUUACUAAAUCUGAGAACAUCAAGGAAGUUCCAUCAGAGAAAAUGAACAAGCUGUUUGAUAAAGGAGUGGAAGUGUUCUUGUUGCGAGUAUAUAAUAUCUUGAUGGAUGCACCAAAAGAUUUCAAAAAACCUCCACAAGUACAAAAACUUUCGUUGGAGUAUGCAGAUUUAUUUGAAGAACCAAAUGCUCUUCCUCCUCAUAGAGCACUUGAUCACAAAAUUCCCUUAGUGGCUGGUGCAACUCCUCCUCAAGUAAGACCUUAUAGAGUUCCUCAACAUCAGAAGCAAGAAAUGGAAGAGCAGAUAAAUAAAUCGUUAGCUGCUCACUUGAUCAGACACGGCCAAAGUCCAUAUGCAGCCCAUGUGAUAUUGGUUAAAAAGAAAGAUGGGUCUAUGAGGCUGUGCACAGAUUUCAGAAAACUAAAUUCACUGACUAUCAAGAAUAAAUUCCCCAUUCCUGUCAUAGAAGAUUUGCUAGAUGAGUUGCAUGGAGAAAAGUAUUCCUCCAAACUAGAUCUAAGAUCAGGGUAUCAUCAAAUAAGAAUGAGCCCAGAAGAUAUACAUAAAACUGCCUUUAGAACAUAUCUAGGGCAUUUUGAAUAUCCGGUUAUGCCAUUCGGGUUAUCCAAUGCCCCUGGCACAUUUCAAGAGAUUAUGAAUGCUAUAUUUGGCCCUUAUCUGAGAAAAUUUGUUCUAGUAUUCUUUGAUGAUAUACUCAUCUGCAACAAGGACCUCAAA